AUGGUUUCUUGGUGUUUAAUAAGAAAUUAGGCCUGCCCCCUGAUAAUUAUUAAAUGGCUGCAGUAUUUUGACUGUACAAAGGUAGCACAAUCAUUAGUCUUUUAAUUGUGGACGAGUAUGAAUGGUUAGACAAAUAAGUAUUAUUUAAUAAUAUAGUUUUUGAAAUUUCCUUUUCUGUUAAAAGGCAGAGAUAAGGCUAAUAGACAAGAAGACCCUUUUAAAUUUAAUUUUACUAGUUUAUAUAUUCUUAUUAAAAUGAUAGAAGGACUAAGUUAAAUUUUGUUGGGGCGACAGAUAUAAAGUAUCUAUAAGAGUAAUAACUAUAUUGAAUAAAUUUAAUUAUGAUCCUAGAUUAAGAUAAUAAAAUAAAUUACUGAAGGGAUAACAGCGUAAUGUGUUUUUAGAGUUCUUAUCAACAAAUAUGUUUGCGA
rnacentral:rRNA from 1 species